AACGAACGCUGGCGGCAUGCCUAACACAUGCAAGUCGAACGAGACCUCCGGGUCUUUUGGCGCACGGGUGCGGAACGCGUGGGAACCUGCCCUUAGGUUCGGAAUACCUCCCCGAAAGGGGUGCUAAUACCGCAUAAUGUCUUCGCACCAAAGAUUUCUGGCCUUUGGAUGGGCCCGCGUUGGAUUAGCUAGUUGGUAGGGUAAAAGCAGACCAAGGCGACGAUCCAUAGCUGGUCUGAGAGCAUGAUCAGCCACACUGGGGCUGAGACACGGCCCAGAAUCGGACGGGAGGGAGGAGUGGGGAAUAUUGGAGAAUGGGGGAAAGCGUGAUCCAGCAAUGCCGGGUAAGUGAUGAAGGCCUUAGGGUUGUAAAGCUCUUUUACCCGGGAUGAUAAUGACAGUACCGGGAGAAUAAGCACCGGCUAACUACGUG
rnacentral:rRNA from 1 species